rnacentral:rRNA from 1 species
AUUGAACGCUGGCGGCAGGCCUAACACAUGCAAGUCGAACGAGUGGCGGAAGGGUGAGUAAUGUCUGGGAAACUGCCUGAUGGAGGGGGAUAAAUACUGGAAACGGUAGCUAAUACCGCAUACCAUCAGAUGUGCCCAGAGGGGAUUAGCUAGUUGGUGGGGUAACGGCUCACCAAGGCGACGAUCCCUAGCUGGUCGGAGGGGAUGACCAGCCACACUGGAACUGUGACACGGCCAAGACUCCUACGGGAGGCAGCAGUGGGGAAUAUUGCACAAGGGGCGCAAGCCUGAGGCAGCCAUGCCGCGUGUAUGAAGAAGGCCUUCGGGUGGUAAAAUACUUUCAGCGGGGAGGCGUUACCCACAGAAGAAGCACCGGCUAACUCCGUGCCAGCCGCCGCGGUAAUUC